GGCUUUAACCCCCUGAGCCACCCAGGCGCCCCUGAUAAAGGCUGUCCCCAGAAUGGCUGAGGAAGUGGUCGCACCCUGCCAGCCGGGGAAGCAGAAACACAGCCCACCCCUAGGACUCUCUUGAAAUGAUUGAGAUGAACCGUUGGACCAGGAUAUGACAAAAGGGAGCUGUGCUACGUCGAUCCCAGCUGCAGUGAAUGGGAGGGUCUGUUGCUUCAC